rnacentral:lncRNA from 1 species
ACAAUCUAAUAUCUUCUUCCAUACACUUCACCCUAACAAAUUUGGUAUCAGAGCGUGGUUAGCCUUGUGUCUCAACACUAGUUCUUCAACAUGGCAACAUCAUCACCAUCCGUGUUCAACUAUUCACAGAAUCUUGUCCCCAUUUUUUAUGGAGAUAACUAUGAUUAUUGGAGCCUCCAAAUAAAGACUCUUUUUAUUUUUCAAGAUCUUUGGGAGCUUGUACAAGAUGGCUAUGAUAGACCCGAUGACUUGGCUACGCUUGCAACAUGGACGGCGUCCA